rnacentral:tRNA from 1 species
GGAGGAUUACCCAAGUCCGGCUGAAGGGGCUCGUCUCGAAAGCGAGAAGAUCGUUAAAACGAUGCAAGGGUUCAAAUCCCUUAUCCUCCGCCA